UCCGCAGGCAAGUAACCCAAAAAGCCCUUACAUGACAAAUCAUUUUUCUACGCAUAAUGCACUCUCUCUCUACCGGACCGCCCUCCUCCAUUAGGUUGUCGAGGCAUGAGACAACGACGUGCUUCCAGUUCCCACCUACCCACGCGCACUCGACCCCAUGAGUGCCAAACCCUAAAUUUUUCCCACAUACCGAAGGCUAGAGAUAGAAAGAAAGAGACAUUGAGAUUGAAAGAGAAAGAAAGUGUAAAACAAAAGAAAGAAAACCUCAGCCCCCAGCCACCAGCCACCAGCUCACAACACAAACACAUCUAAAAACAAAAUAAGAAAAACAUUUCCAUCCAUUUUCUUAAUUAUACUAUAUACUACUGUUAUUAUAUAUAGGCACAAAUAUAUUAUAUCGUACGUUUUAUAUUAAUUACUAGUUUUUUUUUGGGGGUUUUCAAACAAUCUCUCUCUCCCUUCGCGUAGCUACUAGUCUGCUUUACACUUUUUCUUUUGUGCCAAUUGAUUCUAUUCAUUCCAGGGUUUUUGCAUCUGUUCUUUGUUCUCUAUAUAUCUCCACUUAAUAAAUUAUAUAUAUGUCACUCAAUUUUAUUACUUGUUUUUUGAUUCAUCUUCUCAAUUCAACCCCUUUUUAACUUAUUCCAUGUAUUAACUAUUGCAUCUAAUUCUCUCUUUUUUCUUUCUUCAUCACAUCACCAUGAUCACCACUACCAUCACCUCUUUCUCUCUCUUAAACUUGUUGACUAGAAACCCUCGUGCUUAAUUUGGUCAAAAUUUUCUUGCGCUUAAGAAAAUCAGGCCUCAAUAAUUUUCAUUUCUAGCCGUGUCUGAUAAAAUUUUGCAAGCCUGGCUAAUCGGUGGUGGGCCGGACAAGUGGGCUUGCUACCGGGA
rnacentral:lncRNA from 1 species